AUUAAUAGUUUCUGUUUUUACAUCAAAUAUCAAAAUAUUUUUAUUUGCUAUUUACUUAGUUAUCGAUUUGUUGAUGGGACGAUGACGGUGGUUAUCGCCGGUGAAGGUUGAAAUCAAUGGAGUUCAUGUUCAGAUCUCUAUGGAUGUAUACAAUUGGUUGUUGAGUGGAGGAAGAUGACUAAGAGAUUUUUUAAGAGUGAGAGAAGUUUGUAGUCAUCUUUGAUUUUGAUUUCUGCGGCUUUUCGGCUUGUAGUUCGUCGGUUAUGGAGUGGGCUAUUAGUGUAGAGGCGGAGUACAGUCAUGGAGUGUCAUCUGGUUCUAGUCAGGGAUUUCUAAACAUUUAGGAAAACCUUCCUAAACUUCAAGGAAGCUUCCUAAAUGUUAAGAAAUCUUUCCUAAAUUAAAGUAAAUGAGUUUUUGAAUUUUUAUGAAAACUAUCAUGAAUUUCAAGGACUCAUUCCUGAAUAUUAUUGAAUCCUUCCCAAUUUGAAUAAAUAUGUUUCUCAAUCUCUAUUUUUGUGUGUUUUACUUCAGUGUGUCAGAUAUUAGUAGAAUAUUUGGAGUAAUUUACUCCAUUAGUGAGGGGUAAUGAUUUCACAUUUGUACACAUUCUGAUGUUAGGAAAUUCAAACUUUUUCAUAAA